CUACUUCGAGUUUCGACCCUUUCCGUCAUUCACCAAAACGCAACUCUCUCUCUGGAACUCAACCCACUCUGAGCACAGCAACCUCCCAUUCACUUCCGUCACCCAAAUCCCAACUCUCUCUCUCUCUCUCUAUAUCUCUCAUCUCUCUCUGCGCGCCCAAUUUGUCAAGGAAGUACCUCUGGCAAAAUCAGCUCUGGUUAGAGUUUCAAGCCGAAGAGUUUCGGGAUCAGAAAAAGAGCGCGCUGAAUUGGAAGAUCUUACUGAAAACGUAUUUGAUUUGACAUUGCAAGAUAGAUCUGGAGAAGGAGAAAGCCGCAAUUAAGAUGACUUAGACGUAUUUUAUUUAGUACAUUAAAAAUGUAUUUUAUUUAGUACAUUAAAUAUGUAUUUCGAACCUAUUGAAAUAUUUAAUUAUAUCUACUAGCUUAGCUCAACCAACA